rnacentral:rRNA from 1 species
CGCUGGCGGCGUAGCUUAACACAUGCAAGUCGAACGGUAAGGCCCUUCGGGGGUACACGAGUGGCGAACGGGUGAGUAACACGUGGGUGAUCUGCCCUGCACUUUGGGAUAAGGCCUGGGAAACUGGGUCUAAUACCGAAUAUGACCAUGGACUUCACGGUUUGUGGUGGAAAGCUUUGCGGUGUGGGAUGGGCCCGCGGCCUAUCAGCUUGUUGGUGGGGUAAUGGGCCUACCAAGGCGACGACGGGUAGCCGGCCUGAGAGGGUGACCGGCCACACUGGGACUGAGAUACGGCCCAGACUCCUACGGGAGGCAGCAGUGGGGAAUAUUGCACAAUGGGCGCAAGCCUGAUGCAGCGACGCCGCGUGGGGAUGACGGCCUUCGGGUUGUAAACCUCUUUCACCAGGGACGAAGCGAGAGUGACGGUACCUGGAGAAGAAGGACCGGCCAACUACGUG